GCCACAGAGAAACCCUGUCUCGAGAGAAAAAAAAAAAAAAAGCCAUCAGUGUAAAACCUCUUCCAAUUUUAGAUUACCUUUUACAUGAGGGCCCUAUGUGUUUACUCCUUGUUAGGAUUUUGUUCAGAACAGUUGAGGCAUUCAUAUUAGUUUAAUAACUCUGUUGCAUGGAUCCCCCUCCCCCCUCGAGAGUCCAUGUUGCUUCAAUUCUGCAAUCAAGGGCCUAAUACAUAAAAACGAGGUACAGCCAUGCUGACUCUCCACUGAAGGAUGCUUCCUCUUGAAAGUCCUUGCUGCUUUGGAAGAAACAAUUUCUGGCCUUUGUUGACUUAUUUAAAAGCUACCGUUGUACCAGGAAAAUAAGCACAAUGUACCAAGAUCUUCAAAUGGAUGUUGCUAGCAGCCUCCUACGAAGGGAGAAGACUGUUUGCUGUCUAUCCUUCUCAGAAUGUUACUGGUGGCAUGCACUGAUCUCCAUCAUGGGAGUGCUGGUUCUGACUCUAGGACUCAUUCUCAUUAUCUACAACUCCUACCACCAAGUAGCUUUCUCUGUUGGAAUAUGCAUGACAGUUGCAAGCCUUAUUUUUGUUGUCCUGAGUCGUGUGCAAGUUGUGUCUAACAGCAAUGAGAACUCGACAGAAGGAACAGAAGCAGGGUCAGAGAAUUCCUUAUAUACUUCCCAGACUUCGAUAUUGGCCAGUACCAGACUGUGACUCUACACUGAACUUGAUAUCCUAGAUCCCCGGAACUUUUAAAUCUGAACAUUAUAAAAAUACAAAUAAAAAUUACCUCUUAAUAGCUUGUUUCCUAAUAAAGCCCAAAAGCAAGAAUAUCCACA